rnacentral:misc_RNA from 1 species
GGGGAACCAACAUGUAUGUCUUUUACAAGUCCUUGGAAAUUUUCUUCUAUGAUGGAAGAUACAUAUGUUCUUGUCAAUUGUUCUUUACUAUGGUAUCCAUUCACGUAAACAAUUCAAACUCUAGCUAACAACUACAUUAUGGAUUAUAGUAAGAGUCAACAUUUUAUUGAAUUUGACAUAAGAAGAGGCAUGCAUACUAUUGGUCUUAAUUUAGAGUAAUGUAGGGAAGGUUGCAAUCUGGGAAAUGGUUAUGGGUGCACUCUAAAUAUAUAAAUCCCAUCCAGUUUGGAGAAUACGGUUGUUGAAAGGUCAAUAGGCCAUAAAGAACAACAUUGUAUGUGUGGAAGGAGAGGAGAGAAAGAUCACGUGUGAGAAUUUAGAAUAUUGCUCAACAUUUUCUUUUGCUAAUGAUCCCUGCCCCCCAAGCUCCCCACUGUGAAAUUUUGAGAAAAAUUUGGGUCAGUUGUUUCUAAAUCAAUUUUCAUUUAGAAUUGCUCUAAGUGCUAAAAUGUGGGUACUGUGCAG